rnacentral:rRNA from 1 species
UACAGAGGUCUCAAGCGUUGUUCGGAUUCAUUGGGCGUAAAGGGUGCGUAGGUGGCGCUGUAAGUCGGGUGUGAAAUUUCGGAGCUUAACUCCGAAACUGCAUUCGAUACUGCGGUGCUUGAGGACUGGAGAGGAGACUGGAAUUCGAUGGUGUAGCAGUGAAAUGCGUAGAGAUCAUGAGGAAGACCAGUGGCGAAGCGGGUCUCUGGGACAGUUCCUGACACUGAGGCACGAAGGCCAGGGGAGCAAACGGG